CUGAACCAGCCAAGUAGCGUGAAGGAUGACUGCCCUAUGGGUUGUAAACUUCUUUUAUAAAGGAAUAAAGUCGGGUAUGGAUACCCGUUUGCAUGUACUUUAUGAAUAAGGAUCGGCUAACUCCGUGCCAGCAGCCGCGGUAAUACGGAGGAUGCGAGCGUUAUCCGGAUUUAUUGGGUUUAAAGGGAGCGCAGACGGGUCGUUAAGUCAGUUGUGAAAGUUUGCGG
rnacentral:rRNA from 1 species